rnacentral:lncRNA from 1 species
AUGGCCAGAGCCACAGGGCCGAGCUGCCGCGGGCCAGGCAGGGCAGCUCCUCCUCGGUGGGGGCGGGGCUCAUCUCUGAUCUGUCAUCAGAGGUGGCCCUGCAGGGGAGCCGCUCCUCCUGUGGCCGAAAUCCCAAGGCAGGACAGCGGCCAGAGUUCUGGCCCAGAGGUCUCCUACAGUGGGCCUGAGCCAGCAGCCUCCGCCCGCCCCUCCCACACAGCUGUCCAGGUCCCACCCGGCACCUGGUGGGGGGGAGGGGGCAGUGCUCUGCACCUACCAGGAAGGGCUGGGCUCAGGCCACGAGCCUGGGGGCGGAGCCUGGAGGGGCAGGGCCAGCUCAGGGCGACUCCUUUGCUUGGGUCAAUAUUAGCCCAGUGGCCCAGGCCUGCAGAGAUAACCAAGUGGCACCGAAGCCCUGGGAGCCCGUCCAGUAAGGGUGCCCGUGCCCGAGGAGGCCGAGGUGCAGCCUGGGGACUGGCCCUGGGGAAGAAACCAGAAGAGAAAGGAGACAGGCGCAGCGAGAGGGAGGAGACAGUGACAGCACCGGCCCCAGCUGCGGCCAGGGGGGGCGUCGGUGCCCCAGGAAGGUGCCAUUGCCAGGUGGGACAAAGACCAAUCCAAGGGGCCCAGGGCAAAACUGGGCAGGAGUGAGGCCGUGGGAUCCUGCUGGGCGCAGGCGGAGCCAGACGCGCUCACUCAUCACAGGAGGCGCGAGGGCACAUGUGGCAGCACCCAAGGACAGAGCCUGGGUCCUGCAGCGGUCCUGGAGCACCCACCCCUGGGGCGGGCCCCCCGUGGGUGAAGACGGCACCGGGGGAAGGCUGCAGGCAGGCUCAGCGGCGCCGCCCUCCUUGGUGACUGUGGUCCCGGGCUGGGAGGUUCUGCCCCUGCGGUUCCUGGAAGAUUCUGUUGCCCCAGUCAGGUGGGAAAGGGGGCAGCCCAGAGUGGGGGGGAGGUGUCCUCCGCCCGGGGCUGGCCUCUCCCACGAUGGUAUCAGGGCUCCCCCAGGAGGGCCAGGCUGGGCAGCGAGCCCAGACUGGAGCGGGGUGGAGGGAACCGCAGAGCCCCAGAGGGAGCCCGGGUGCCCCCCACCUCUACAAUGGCCGGCUGUCCCGGAGCCUGACCCCACUGCGGGAGCCUUGGUCCCACUUCCUCCUCUAGUUUGC